CGACUGAGUGGCGGACGGGUGAGUAACGCGUGGGUAACCUGCCUCAUACAGGGGGAUAACAGUUGGAAACGGCUGCUAAUACCGCAUAAGCGCACAGUACCGCAUGGUACGGUGUGAAAAACUCCGGUGGUAUGAGAUGGACCCGCGUCUGAUUAGGUAGUUGGUGGGGUAACGGCCUACCAAGCCGACGAUCAGUAGCCGACCUGAGAGGGUGACCGGCCACAUUGGGACUGAGACACGGCCCAA
rnacentral:rRNA from 1 species